GACGAACGCUGGCGGCGUGCCUCAGACAUGCAAGUCGAACGCGAAAGGCCCCUUCGGGGGCCCGGUAGAGUGGCGCACGGGUGAGUAACACGUAGGUAAUUUGCCUUCGGGUGGGGAAUAACAGCCGGAAACGGCUGCUAAUACCGCAUAAUGCAGCGGCUCGACAUCGAGACAGUUGUUAAAGCGGGGGAUCGCAAGACCUCGCGCCUGAAGAGAAGCCUGCGGCAGAUUAGCUUGUUGGUGAGGUAAUGGCUCACCAAGGCGACGAUCUGUAACCGGCCUGAGAGGGCGGUCGGUCACACUGACACUGACAUACGGGUCAGACUCCUACGGGAGGCAGCAGUCGGGAA
rnacentral:rRNA from 1 species